AAAUGGCUUGAACCCCUGGUAAUGUGCAUUGAAAUUGAAUUGGGUUUCUAGGUCUGCCUUCUCUGAUGUCAUUUGGCUUUGAUUUGGGGGCAUAGUUUCGCAGCAAAACA